rnacentral:lncRNA from 10 species
CCAGAACAGAUAGCACAGCAAUGUCAGGGGCAGCCAGCAAGGGCCCAGGAGGAAAAGGAGCCAGGAUGGUCACAGCAGGACCACCAGCGCGUCCUCAGUGGGUGUUAAAUUAGCUGUGCGGGUGCUUCAUGCAUAUCCUUGGAGAGCAUGUCUAGCAUGUGGCCAGGGGCUGCCAAGGGAUCCCCAGAAGGCAGAACGAGUGUGGUGACUACAGUAGUAGAGAUCACUAGCAGGAGUGUUGUGAAAACAGCAAAAGGGCCAGUAGGGAGAUCUCUCCUUUCAAUCUUAUAGAGUAAAGGCUGCAUCUGUAGGUCUGGAUCUGAAAAUAAUAAUAAUAACAGAAUAAAGGCUGCAUAAAUGAAUGGGAUGAGAGAGAGUUUCCCAGGUCAGUGCUGAGGUCCAGAUGGAAAGAUAGGAAGCAAGGGGAAGGUACAGAACAUAGAACUCUAAAUUAGAGAAUCCUCCAUUACAGGAGGUUAUGUGAAGAUAGCAGCAAGACAAAUGAAGAUAAGUAAAUCUGAAAAUUAUCUUCCUGCCAGUCGUUAGCCAUGAGACCAUUAGAAAUUUUAAAAAGGGCUAAGCAUGGUGGCUCACACCUGCAAUUCCAGCAUUUUGGGAGGCCAAGAUGGGAAGACUGCUUGAACCCGGGAGUUUGAGGGUGCGGUGAGCUAUAAUUGGGCCACUGCACUCCAGCCUGGGUGACAGAGCCAGAAACUGUCUCUAAAAAGUAAAUAAAUAAAUUACAAAAAGAACAAGGGCAGAAGCAGCCCAGGAGGCACCAGCAACAGCUUCUCCACUCACAAGAGCUUCAGGCACCAUCCCACCAUAAAAGAUUCUAGGACAUUUCACCAUUGGAAUUGGGAAGCUGCUCUACAAACUAGUUCAGAUUCUGCAAGUAAGAUAUCCAGCAGGAUAGGCUCUUUCUUAAGCUACUGCAAAGCCAACACUACUACAAGACAGAACUGUGGCCCCACUACCUGGUAGAGAGAGGGACAUGAUGUCUAAGACAAUAGAGGGCAGCAACCUGGGGGCUCUCUGGAGACAGCAGAGGGUAGCCAGGGGCUAGAGAUCAUUGUAUCGGGAUAUGAGAACAGUGAGGUAGAUGGUAAUCUUUGAAACUGAGCCUGUUAAAGAAGAACUAGAGCAGGAAGCUACCAUAGGGAUCUGGACUUGGGGGAGUAUCUUUUUUUUUUUUUUUGAGACGGAGUCUUGCUCUGUCUCCCAGGCUGGAGUGCAGUGGUGCGAUCUCGGCUCACCGCAAGCUCCACCUCCUGGGUUCACGCUAUUCUUCUGCCUCAGCCUCCUGAGUAGCUGGGACUACAGGCGCCCUCCACCGCGCUGGGCUAAUUUUUUUUUUUUUUUGUAUUUUUAGUAGAGACGGGGUUUCACCAUGUUAUCCAGGAUGGUCUCGAUCUCUUGACCUCAUGAUCCACCUGCCUUGGCCUCCCAAAGUGCUGGGAUUACAGGCGUGAGCCACCGCACCAGGGCUUUUUUUUUUUGUUUUGUUUUUUUAAAAAGGGUCUCACUCUGUCACCCAGGCUGGAAUGCUAUGGCACAAUGUUGGCUCACUGAUAACGCGACCACCUGGGCUCAAGUGAUCCUCCCAUCUCAGCCUCCAAGUAGCUGGGACUACAGGCUUGUGCUAUCAUUCCUGGCUAAUUUUUGUAUCUUUUUUGGUAAAGAUGGGUUUUUGCCAUGUUGCCUAGGCUGGUCUUGAACUCCUGAGCUCAAGCAAUCUGCCCAUCUCGGCCUCCCAAUGUGCUGGGAUUACAGGUAUGAGUCACCAUGCCUGGCCUGUUUCCCUUUUUAUAUAUGCACAAGAGUGAUAUAGGGUAAAAAUAUGCCCAAGUCUGAAGAACCAACCCCUUUCAUUAUAUAUAAAAUAAAAAUACUAAGUGGCAAAAACAAGGGCUUAACUUCAGAGAAAAAAAAAAAAAAAACAGUUUGCCAGCAGAGCCAGCAUGUAAGCAAUGGCCAUCUUUCCUGUACUUAAUAGGUGUGAGGGCCCAUCAUCCUUCUGCGUCAUUCCCUGAUAUGAAAGGAUCUGAUAAGUCCUUCCCCAUUUCCAACUUCAUCAUGAACAAAAGGGAAGACUGCCUUUAACUUUAAACAGAAACUAACUACAGUAUAGUUUAGUUGUUUAUUUUUAAGACUGGUGUUGACUAGUAAGCCCCAUUUUGCUUCGGGCUGAUUCAAGUGUUUUUUGAACAAUUAAAUUAUUCUGUUUCCUGAAACUUUCAAAUUAUCCCUAUUUCCCAAUAUUAAUGGUUUGACUUUGUACUGUAUAAUACUUUGCACGUUUCCAAGCACUUACAUGUACAUUCCCUCUUUCAAUUCUAACGGGCUCAAAUUAGGGACUUGUCCAAUGUCAUAAAAUUAAUAAAUGGCUGAGCUAGGUCUUGAAUCUAGCUCUGUCUGGUUAUAAACCCAGUUAUUUUUCCACGACAAGCAGCUAAAUAUCUACCAGAAUGACUGGAUGUUGGUAAUAAUAGAAAUAGAGGGUAACCCACUGCAAUUACAUUUGUUAUUUUUGGUUUUCCUAGGUUCACAGUCCUGAGUACUAAGAGGUUCAGGCUAAAAAGAGAGUCGCUAUUGUUAGUGACUCUAUUCUCCUCCAGGGUAUUUUCCAAGAACUAUUCACAAACUAGACUGGGCAGGAACUGGCCAUGUGAGAAGGGGGAGGGUAGCUGUGAGGUCAGCAGGCUCUAACUCCUCGGACUCUGAGCCAACUUGUCCAGUUGCUUCAGCCUGAGCCAGGGUGAACAAAGCCAAGUUAGGCAGGAGUCAGGCAUUCUAUUCAACCAAGUUCAAUAGAGGAGAGUCCAAGGAAAGCAGAAUUUCAGGGUAGUUUUUUAUUCAGUAAGCUGACAUUUGGGAAACGGCAGUCAAAUAAAUGCAGAAAGGCAAUGAUUCAAUCGACUUUGUACUAAGUUAGUGUUUCUCAAAAAAGGAAGCUGAAGCGAACCCUCCAGAAUCCUAAUGUCCUUGGACCACUCAGCUUCUGGUGCACCAGUAGUGCUGCCUUUUUUCUAUCUAUAAAAUAUAACUU